ACUCCAUUGCCACGGGCAGUAGCAGCUGCUGGAAGAUGGCCAUGUAGUCCCCGUCGCCCAUUCCUGUCUCAUUGAGCGGCACAUUGAAGUUGAAGCCCAGGCCAGGGCCCUCGCCUAUGGCAUGGUAGUCCGACUCCUGCAGAUGUGGCCAGAAGGCGCCGUGCUCGAGGCGAUGUAUUGCAUGCACCAACUCAAUGGCGUAUCCGCUAGCCCACAAGGCACUCAAAAAGGUAUACUGGAAAGGGUAUGGUAGUAGAAGACGUUAUCAACGAUGUGCCAUUUAAGAUUAGAAGAAUGAUUAAUCGGAUCUGUAUUAAAAGUAGGGAGCUGUGCCUUUAAUUUGGACUCUAAUAAGGGAUUUCCGAUGUGAAAUAUUACCAGAGGAACCCAAAAAUGUCACCCAUGAAAUAGACCCAAUGUUUAUCUUUAUAGAUAUAAUGCCUGAGGAAAGAUCCCUGAAAUCAUAAUAGAAGAAAGCGACAAUUCGAGAACCAGUAGUUCAAAUAGAAGACGAUUCUCUAGUGGAGUGGGAAAACGAAGUAGGAAUUCCAAAUCGGCAGGAGGAUAUUUUAAGUGAUUCAGACCAUCGGAUUCCGAACACUCAAGCGGUGGAAGAAGUGAUUUCUAGGGAGACGAAAAGAAAGAGGAAGCAGGAUUCAGUGGACAGUGCGAAGAAGAAAAUAUUAGAUGAACUCUCUCUCCUUGAAGGAGAAGCAAUACUAAGUAAAAAUCCCCUCAACUAGCGAGUGGUCCACGAUGUUUAUGGAACCAAAUACGACAUUGGAGACAUCCAAUAUGCAGACAAUUUUCAGGGGCCAUCCUUAUCAUCUCGCACCACGGAAACCAUAUCCACAUUGUCCACGACUGUAACUAUUCCAACCAUUCAUGUAGAAGCGCUUUUAACUCCUGUAUCCAAGAGUUUAUCGGUCGAAGAUUCGCUGGAUGAAUGGUUCCAAACUGGAAAUUUACGAUCCAACACUGGAUCAGAAGGUCUCAAGGCAGUUCCUUUACUGUAACCUCGCCCGGAAAACGUGGUUUUUAAGUGGGGAAGCUCGAUAUUUACAAUUCCGAAACAGAAAUGUUGGGACGAAGCGAACUAUCAUUCAACAUUCAUGACUUAAUCUCCCAUGGAUCCUCGUUAUCAAAUGGAUAUAAAUUAUUGGUAUUUUUGACGAACAAAAUCAAAUUAAUGCCUUUGUGCUUGGACGUUAACCGACGUUACGCUGGUAUUGGGAAACUACUAGUUCCUGUUGCCCAACACUGACAGGAGGAUCAGAAAGUGGCAUAGAACUUAAACGAUGACUCUUUAGGAUAAUAAAAGUCGAUGCCACCGA